rnacentral:other from 1 species
CAUCCCCUGCAGUGUUCGAUCCGGCCUUACGUUCUUUGAACCAAUGCUCUCGUAGCGAGGUUGCCAAGCCAAUGCGGACCGGUGUGCGCCCCCACGCGGAAGCGCCUGAUGGUCCCGGCAGGCGGCCGAUCUUGAACCCAGGUUCAGGAUGACCGGCCGGAACGGCACAGGCGGGGGACCU